rnacentral:SRP_RNA from 1 species
AACGGAGGGCUGGUGUAUGCCUUCGAGUACCUGAAUGAGAAUCUUGAAUGGCUCAACGACCAGCUUGGGGAGGGAGACGAUGACUACUACAUCAUUGAUUGCCCGGGUCAAAUCGAGCUGUAUUCGCACGUGCCAGUGAUGAAGAG